CAACGUGACGAACCUCUAACCUCUCCUAUUUUAUAUUCGUUUAUAGUGCUUUUACGGCUGAGAUUAAUUGCAAAUUAAAUAUAACGCCAUUAUACCCCAUGACCAUCAAAUUGGAAACUCGACGCGAUUUUAUAUCAGUUUUUCAGAUAGUGAGGUUAUGACAUUGACUUGAAUGUACCAAUUUACACGUCCAAUUCCACACGGUGCACCUACCUGAGAGGCAACUAUGUUUAUUGUAUAAUUUGGGAGUACAUUAGGUAUGUACCUAUACGAAUUAAAUUUCCUUCGCUUUCUUAUAAUGAACGUAUGCUGUUUGUUGUUAUUUUUGUAGUUUUUUUGCAGUCCAUUAGUGAUUAUCUUUUUGUUUUUGGAUCUUCUUUUAUAUACUUUUACGUUCGUAUUUGUUUGGCAAUUACCUGUGUAAAGGCAGUAAAGGAGGGCUCUACUGUAAACAUACUGCAUGUCGUAAGAGGCGACUAACCAACGGUCGGUUGAUCAAAAACAGAUGCUUAAAAUAGAGGUUUUAGGGAUGGUUGUCAGGUCGCGAGAAAUGUAUAAGGAAGAUUCUAUAUUGAAUGUAACUAAGAGAGUGGAAAAUUAAUUAAUGCUCUUUGAGAUGUGAUAGAGCUCAGUGUCCGUUCUUGAGGGAUCGGAAAAUUAAUUCGUGUUGUGCCGUAGAAGAGAGCUCAUUGCGGGCAACGGAAGAGUAAUACCAUUAGAACCAUUUUAGAGCCCAUGUCUCAGUAACCGUGAAUUCUGUAAUUCCGUUUUAAAACUCUAGUCUAAAAAAAAGAAAACCAUCCGCGGUCCGGAGGGCUGUAUUUGGUCGAAUUCUAGAAUAAUUACCGCGCGAAUUAGCAGUACGGAAGAGUUUGACGUGACACAUACAUUUACGAUAAAAGAACAGCUUUAGUUGUCGCGCAUGUAAGUUCAUUUGCGAUUGUGAAAUAGAAAGUAAAUUAACCGGUGUAUGUUUAAAUUUCUUAUAACAGUACGAACGGAUUUUUCCGACACAUAAAGCUGAGUUGAGCGCCGUUUCGACUAAUAAAAGGCUCUAAUUCGAAAGUGUAGGUUACCCUAUUUCGGAAUAGAAAAAGAGUCAAUUUGUUUUGCCUUUUUUACGCACUAAUUAUAAUUUACCUAAAUAGUGAGAUCAGACCGUGGAUUGAUAGCAGACCAUAAAUAGAAGUUUAUUUGCUCAAUCAUUUCCAAUACAACGUUGUAAAUAUUCAGUCUUGUGAUGUAUCACUAACGCUAAACUUAACGCGCGUGUUUUGGCAGAUAACCUGAACGAAAUUCCAGGUUCCGCUAUUUAUUACCCUAUAUUCCAAAAGUACCACAUCUAGGAGAAGAGCAGUACAUCAUUGUCCCAGAGAGAGAGAGACAGUAGAUAUAGUGGAAAGUAGGUCACUGUGAAGUUCAAAGGUCGCCUGCUCCGCGGCGGUGACGUUGGAAAAUAGGUCACGGUGCAAAGGCAUUCGCUUUCAAGGUCAUCGGAGAUGUCAGGCGGAAAGUAGGUCACCAUUAAGUCCCGCAAGAAUCUGAGAGUUUAAUUGCACGAUGAAUGAUGAACUUAUUGGCAACGGGGUACCAGGACAAACAUUUUUGUCCCUACGUCUGGAAAAAUACAAUGUGUGGCU